rnacentral:misc_RNA from 1 species
GUGACUCGGCUACACCCUGUUGGGGGACGCCCAUACCCCAUCACCCCUAAGCGGCGUAGAUCGCCGCUUGAUCAAGACAGCUCAACGUUUCACACCGCCCCUCCCCUCCCCCCACCCACCCGUCUUCUCGAGUGCCCCUGUUGUUGUUUUGUUUCUGUAGCGUGUGCCCUCUCCCGCACACGCACACCGGAAAGCAGCCCCAGAGUUUCCCUGACGCGCAGCAGACAUGGGCCAAAGUGCACCAACGCCGACCCCGCGCACGCAGCGGCCCGCGCGCCUGACACCGCAGCAACGGCGGCAACAGCUCAAGCAGCAGGAGAUGCAGAAGCCGCUGCGGGCUGUAGAGCAGGUGCGACGCCGCCAGCCGACGCUGAAGGAACAGUGGCAGGCGCAGCGGGAGGCAAACGCCGCCGCCCGCGAGGCGAAAGCGAUGGAACGCAAGCGAAAGAAGGAAGCCCUUCAUGCUGAGCUGAUGGCUCAGCAGAAGCAGGCUGAAGACGAGCAGGAAAAUGUCGAUGACGUGGACGACGAUGCCGACUUAGCCGGUGGCGGCAGCGACGGCGAUGAUGGAUGUCUCCAGAACGCUGAAGAAGAGGCGAUGCUGGCUCAGGCGCGCAUCAACGCACAGCUUGCGGCCUUUCAAGCCUUCAUGCAGAACAAUCCUGAUCUCGAGGAGGGCCUUGACAGUGCUGACGCCGACCCGGCCAGCAUGUUUGACCGUGAAGCCAUGCCCGCAGCGGCACUCAAGGUUGCACAGCACGGUGGUUGCACUGGUGGCAGCGGCGGCCUUGGAGACAGAGACGAUGAUGAGGCGAUUGCGAACGUCUCCGUGCACAGCUCCGAUUACGCAGAUGAGGAGCUGAUGCAGGGCCUCGAUGACCUCGACGAGGAGCUCGAACAGGAGUUCCUGAAUCGCAUCGAUGUCCUGCAGCAACAGGUUGCCGAGCACAAGCAACAGUCCCUCGCCUACCUGCGCGAGCACAACGAUAAGGCGGCGGCGUUGCAAGAGCUUCAAAAGGCGAAGCAGAUCGAGGCUCAAAUCAAGCAGCUGCUGGACGAGCACGCGACCCCGCUCAGGGUGCAAAUAGAGGAACAACAGACGAAGAUCGUCGAGCUGGAGAAUCUUGUCGCGACGCGCAAGCAGCAGUCUGUGGCCACUCUGCGCGGCGGAGACAAGCCCACGGCGCUCACGCUGUUGAAGGAGGCGAGGGGAUUUGAGAGUCAACUGGAGGAGGCGAAAGCAACGUUGGCUGCACUCAAGAAAGAAAAAGAGAAGCAACUCCGUAGCAAGGGUGAGGAAUGACGACGACCGCGACUGACGUCCGCCCACCCCUUUAUACGCGCACACUCACACCUGGCGUAUAAUCCUGUGUUUGUUUACCCGGUUAUCGGUGCAUGUGCGUGAAGCGUGCAGAUGUUCAUGCGCGUUACCCCUUACAUCACGGUUAUGUGUCUUUCUGGCUCUCUUGCAUCUAUUCUUGGGUCUUGUUGGACGGUGUUGCCUCACGUGACUUUGCGCUUGCUCACCACUCUCCCUCUCCCUCUCCCUUUCGCGUUUCCCCGGCGUGCGUGUCGCUCGCUGUCCUUGUCUCAG